rnacentral:rRNA from 1 species
CGAACGGGUGAGUAACACGUGGGCAACCUGCCCAAAAGAGGGGGAUAACACUUGGAAACAGGUGCUAAUACCGCAUAACCAUAGUUACCGCAUGGUAGCUAUGUAAAAGGUGGCUAUGCUACCGCUUUUGGAUGGGCCCGCGGCGCAUUAGCUAGUUGGUGGGGUAAAGGCUUACCAAGGCAAUGAUGCGUAGCCGAACUGAGAGGUUGAUCGGCCACAUUGGGACUGAGACACGGCCCAAACUCCUACGGGAGGCAGCAGUAGGGAAUCUUCCACAAUGGGCGAAAGCCUGAUGGAGCAACGCCGCGUGGGUGAAGAAGGUCUUCGGAUCGUAAAACCCUGUUGUUAGAGAAGAAAGUGCGUGAGAGUAACUGUUCACGUUUCGACGGUAUCUAACCAGAAAGCCACGGCUAACUACGUGCCAGCAGCCGCGGUAAUACGUAGGUGGCAAGCGUUAUCCGGAUUUAUUGGGCGUAAAGGGAACGCAGGCGGUCUUUUAAGUCUGAUGUGAAAGCCUUCGGCUUAACCGGAGUAGUGCAUUGGAAACUGGGAGACUUGAGUGCAGAAGAGGAGAGUGGAACUCCAUGU